CAGUCGCCGCGGUAAAACGAACCGUGCGAACGUUAUUCGGAAUUACUGGGCUUAAAGCGCGUGUAGGCGGGCCGCCACGUCGGUUGCUGAAAUCCCCCGGCUCAACCGGGGAAGUGGCAUCGAUACGAGCGGCCUUGAGGGGGGUAGGGGGAUCUGGAACUUCCGGUGGAGCGGUGAAAUGCGUUGAGAUCGGAAGGAACGCCCGUGGCGAAAGCGAGGUCCUGGACCCUUUCUGACGCUGAGACGCGAAAGCCAGGGGAGCGAACGGGAUUAGAUACCCCCGUAGUCCCUGUCUCUUAUA
rnacentral:rRNA from 1 species